rnacentral:lncRNA from 1 species
AACCAAACCACUCAGGUCCUACCUGCUCUUUCCCGGCUUGAUGCGGGCGUGUUUUCCUGUGUGGACAAAUCCUCCAAGAUUUAACUUCCAAGAAAACCGGCGGCGGAGCGGGUGGAGGAGGCGAGGAUGUGUGGCCAAUGCACGCGGAGUGCAAGGCCGCCUAGUUGGGAGCCGCAAGAGCCUGCCUGGUGUGGCAGGCACACGGAACCCAAUCCCUGUCUGUCCGCUGCGGCCUGGGAGGGGAGCGCCGGCCUCACCAGAGGAAGGAGCACGAGGGGAGGAGUUCCGAGAGGAAAUAAUUAGUGAAAUAUUUGCAGAAGAUGCUGGGAUGUGGAUUUAAUUCCGGAUGGACAGUGGUGCUUCUGAUUCCCUCAGUCUGUUUCCCCACCCACGAUCUCCUCUUUCCUUGGCCUAGACACACCAAAAAUAAUUCAAUAAAAUAAAAAUAAAAAUUUAAAAAUCUGUAAA